GUAGGGAGCGAGCGUUAUCCGGAUUUAUUGGGUGUAAAGGGUGCGUAGACGGGUAAGCAAGUUAGUUGUGACAUCCCUCGGCUUAACUGAGGAACUGCAACUAAAACUGCAUAUCUUGAGUACAGGAGAGGUAAGUGGAAUUCCUAGUGUAGCGGUGAAAUGCGUAGAUAUUAGGAGGAACACCAGUGGCGAAGGCGACUUACUGGACUGAAACUGACGUUGAGGCACGAAAGUGUGGGGAGCAA
rnacentral:rRNA from 1 species